UAACCAUCCGGAGCGGCUGAGAGACCUGGCUCGUCGACGUCGCAGCAACCGGCACGGGAUCCCCGUGCGAGGUGCUAAUGCCAGGACCGAUGGAGC
rnacentral:ncRNA from 1 species